GAAGCACCAACUGGGCUUUCCCUGCGUUGUAGGAAGUGACCCUGCUCUGAACUCUCGGCUGCGCCAGUGAAACGCCGGGGAGUUAUCGAUCGGCCGUGGGAAGCGGCUCUCCGAGGUCUUCCCUCCCCGGCUUCGACUUUCCCCAGAACUCAACGCCGAGAAAUCCCGGGGAGAAGCGAGCCCUGCAGUCACCUCCCCGGCACGCUCCACUUGGCCCGCGCCCGCCUUCACCUGCGAAGCUGCUGACGCCGAAGUGAUUUGAUCAAUAAAUAAAAUCAACAAUCUAAGAAGAUAGUAACUCAGAGGUGUGAAAUCUACCUGCCUGGCAAGCAUGAGACCAGGAAUUCCACCCUUCCCACCACCCCCACUGCAUCUGGAAUUCUUAACACUACAACAAAGGAUGUGAUCUUCAGUGCACUGCAACCAAGUGUGUGCUAACAGCACAAUGAAAACGUAAAACCAUCAGUGAACAUUGCAACUCCAUGUGUGAGCACCACAACCAAGUCUGAGCCUGAGCAGGAAUUAUAUAAUUUGGUGAAUUUAACAAUUACAUGGUCUAGUUAAGAAGACUUUUCCAGGCGCUUGGAGUGUUGCUCAGUUGGAACACUUGCCCUGCCUGUGUGAGCCCCAGGGAAACACAAGGAUGGUGGAAGAGGAGGAGGAGGAAGAGACCAGAGACCGAUCAGAGCCUUAGAACCUGGAGAGUG